GUGUGUAAAGUGUGAGUGAACGUGAGAAUAGAGAGAAAGAGAGCUGCAAUGGCAGCAGCCUUGUUGCCAUUGCAGCAGCUGCAGGAGCGCCAAAGAGAGCAGUGAGUUGAGUAGAGUUGAGUGAUCCCUUUUCUCCAUGUAUUUAUUGUAUCAUUUUCUCUAUUUCUAAUAAAAUGGACCUCUCCCGUGGAUGUAGACGAUUUGCCGAAUCACGUUAAAUAUUGUCUCAGUGUGCUUAGCUUUCUUUGAGCAACUAUCAAUACACCACCGGUCCGCGUAUGGAAGGAGACGGAAUUCCCCAACAAACACUGCACACUUUCCUUUUUAUGAUUUUCAAUUUCACCAACCACCAUUUUACCCCUUUGUCAUUUUAUCUGUAUUGACGUUGAAAUCACUUCACCAACCAACACCAUCUGUAUUAACUUUUGGUUCGUUUAGGUCAUUGUAAAUAAUUUUGAUAGAUAAGCACGAACCCUGCAACCAAUUUCGGUGCCAGUGGCGCACUGGUUACUAUGAUGGAUUUGACCAUUAGAGGUUCCAUAACGAGCAAGAAAAUGAACCCACCAUGACAUGAUAUCUAUGUUGAAUAUGUUCAACAAGAACAUUUGAUGCACCACAAGCCCUUUUGCCAGCAAAUGAAUCCAAACAAGAAAUGUAUGCUUUCUUCCACUACUAGAAGUGGGGGAUGCCAGAACUGUUCUCAGCACAACGACGAAGAAAACAGAGCAUGUUGCGCUGACGGAGGAACAAUUUGCCCAAAUGUCUUCUGAGCGCAGACCUACAUGGCGCUGCUAUUCUAGGCCAUACCCUCUUCUAUAGUGUCUUCUCAGUAGUGUUUCCAUGGAACUUUUAAAGGCUUUUAUUAUCUGUGAGGAUUGCAAGUUCAGUACUCCUGCCUAUUUCAACUGUUUGAAACAGCCCGCUAUCCUAAUUUUUCUGAUUUUGGCAGUUCCUCUGACUGUAAGAUAAAAUCAUUCACUGGAGUUAGUGGCAUUGUGAUCGGUGAAGCAGUAGAAACAUUCACUGCUAAAAAAAUAUUGCUAUUAGCACUGGAUUUUAGCAACUACGUAAUUCGGCUGUUGAAUCAAUAUCGGAAUAUUUAUAUAUGAUUGAAGGAUUUAGUAAUGAAAAAUCUUUUGCUGCGAAACAAUAAAUUAUCCAAGGAAGGAUAGGAUUUUUCAUUGUUGAUGUGUCAACAUCAAAUCAGCAACGGAAAAAUUAAAAUAUUUAUUUCUUAAAUUCCCCUUCUCUCACUAGUCUCUUCCCGCUUCUCUAGAAAUUCAAAAUUCAAAAACUUUUGAUUUGUCUUUUUUUUUUUUUUUUCAUUUAACCUUGAUUAAGCUGUUAUCGCAAGCAAGAUUGUUGAUGAAUAUGGGUCUCCUCUCAGAAAAGCACAUGAGUUCCUGAAACAGUCACAGGUGCAUUCCUAAGUCCAAAAGAAAUCAUAUUUGGUGGCAUCAUACUCUUUAGCUGUUUUGACAUGGCUUCCCAUUCCUUGUUCAGACUCAGGAGUAUGCAUCGUCUCAUUUCCAGAGAAGCAUGGACUCUCUCCAUCAAAGAUCAUGGUUGGCAAGUCUCGGAUUGCACAGCUGAAGAUCUAAGGGUAAACAAGUUCAAUUUCUCUUUGUCGGAGUAAUUAAUGCCGUAAAGAUUAGGUUUGUGAGGAAGAAAAUCCUGGCUUUGCUCUUACUUUCACAAAUGCAGACAGAAAUUGUUUUAGAUUCUGUAGGUUUAAAUUAUGGAUAUUUUUAGAAUUCUAAAAGUUGAAUCAAAAUCCUCUGGUUUGGGGUGGACGUGUCCAAAUUUCUAACAUUGAAUAUCCAUUGAGUAUGAUCUACUUUUAAAAUCUCAA